CUUGGUAGCAGCAGACAGCACACGUACAUCUGUCUUAACGAAAUGGCAUCAUGUGGCAGGCACAGAAGCGAUGGCAGGAGAAGAUGAAGGGCCUGCUGGAGGAGUGAACACAUCCCACAUUUCUUUAUCCAUGAUUAGAAUCAGGACCGGCACUUGGUACUCAGUAAGCGCCAAGAUUUUCUUGGACAAAUUCAAGGUCUUCUCUCAAUUGUGGUCGGAACUGGACAUUCCCACGAGGACAGUUUCCACUUCCAGUAAUGGCUGAGGAGGUCCUAUUGCAAAUAAUAAUGAGAAACUCUGGACCAAGUAUUUUAGAACCACCACCUGAAAGUAUUGGAGAGUAAGUAAGAGCAGGAUUCCCUCCUGGGCUGUACGGUUUCUGUUGAGAAGUCUGUUGCCAGAUGAAUUGACACUCCUUUAUAUGUUAUUUACUUGUUUUCUCAUGCUGCUUUUAGAAUUUUCUAUUUGUUCUUGACCUUUGAAAAUUUGAUUAUUAUAUGCCCUGGGUUAGUCUUACUUGGAUCAAAUCUGUUUGGUGUUCUUUGACCUUCCUGUACCUGGAUAUGUAUACCUUCCUCAAGUUUUGGGAAUUUUUCUGUUAUUAUAUCUCUAAAAAGCUUUCUACCCCUUGCUGUUGCUCAACUUCCUCUUGAACACCAAUAGUUCUUAGAUUUGACCUUUUGAGUUAAUUUUCUAUAUUUUGUAGGUGACCUUUUAUGUCGUUUUUGUUACUAAACAUAACGUUUGUGAGAUUCAUCCAUAUUGUGCAUAGUUGUAGUUUCUUGACAUUUGGUCUCAUUGUUCUACAAUAUUCUGUUGUUUAAAUAUGUGAUUUUUCUAUCCAUUCUACUGAAGAGGACAUUUGGGUUGGUUUGGUUUGUGACCAUGUGCGUAGUGUUGCUGUGAACAUUCUUGCACAUGCCAGAUCUUAUUUUAAAAGUCUGAUGCAGGGCUUCCCAUCAGUGGUCUAGCCCUCUUUAUGAGGAAGAUGGUUCACUCCCAAGAUUAACAUUUUUGGAGUUAUGAUACCCCAUUUUUAUUUCAUUAGAGCACCUACUCCUCCCAAAAUGAUGUAUAGCAUAAAUCUUUCUUGAUACAAAUUAACCUAGUUUAAAGGCAUGGCAAUGUCAUCAGCAUCUACUCAUCUCUGUGUGACCACAGCACCUUGUCCCGUGCUCUGCACAAAGAAAGCGUUUAUAACACUUGCUUAGUUGAAUUGUUUAAGAACAAGUCCCCACAUCCCCACCACCUCCACAAGUCUUCAUCUUCCCCAAGCAAAAUACCAUAGCUCUCUUAACCAUUCUUUACAGCAGUGGUACUCAAUUCUUUUGUUCUAGUAUUUCCAGGGCAAAAUAAUUUUUUAAAACUCUACACCCAUCCACAUUUUUAAGCUGGCAUCUUUAUCAUUCAUUUAAAUAAAUGCAAAGAGUGAAAUUUCUACCAUCUUAUAAAUUGUUUAAAUAUUUUAUUUUUAAAAAAACAAUGAAACUGCAUUGGCUCAUACAAUUUAUAGAAAAGGUCCACCAUAUAACAUAAUUGGCAAAGCCGUUGUCAUUGUCAAAUUAAUUAGCAAAUCAGGCUUACUUUCAUAUAGACAUGGCUUUCUAUUAUGUUUUCUAAAUCAUUUCAAAUACACAUGUUAGUACACAUUCCUCAGCAAACAUUACUUCUGAAUUCUCAUUCUAAGCUACAUAGCUGGCUGGCUGGCUGGCUGGAUGGAUGGAUGGAUGGAGGCAAAGAAACUCACCAUGACUUUGUCACCUGAAUGAAACAGUGCCACAUCUUUAAUAUUUCCUCCCAAACCUUCCUUUCCUUUACUUUCCUGUGACUCUCUCUCAGAAGGGAUGCAUGUCUAAAUUCUUUAUUUGGUACCCAGAAGUCUUUUACAGCUCAGGGUAAUAGUGCUCCACAGGAAGAUGCAGGAUCGCAGGGAGAGCUGUUUGUCUUCUUUUCCAAACUGGGGCCAGAGAAAAGGGAGGUGGGAAGCUAUGCUUGGAGUCAAUUUGUCCCAUGUUUUCUUUCUAAAAGCAUAUGGAGGGGAAAAUGAUUGGUGUUUUAAAGAUGUUGGGUCACUUUACUUUCUCAUGCUAUUAGGCCAAGCUGUGACCCUUAGUUUCAUCUCCAGAUUAUCAGACAUAAAAGGCCCACAGGAAUCCAGAAGCUAGACAGAGCAUAGGUAUUCCAAUCUCUCAAGAAAAUGGGCAGUAAGAGAUUUACUAAUAGUAUGUUUGCUCACCUGGCA
rnacentral:lncRNA from 1 species